CCCCGUGCGCAGCAGGCGCGAGCGGGUCUGGAAGUCCGAGACGAUGACGUUCAUGUUCUCAAAGCGGAUGCUGCUCACGCUGCCGCUCUCCAUGGCCCCGGGUAGUUCGGCCUCCAGCGCCUCCAGCACCUCUAGCAGCUGAACAAAGGGGAAUGCAGCUCCGGACAGCCAGGAGCUGGCCUGGCAUCCCGUCAGGCCCCGCUGCUCUCUCGUUGACAUAGUUUCACAGAACACCACCAUCAGCCAAGGCCACUCCGUGACCCUGAGGGACCCAGAUAAAAUGAAGACCACUCCAGGAUCACAUCUCAACACAACAAAAUCCCCACCAGGCAGGCCAUCCUCAUCCCAGAAGCACUUCCACGACUGGAGCUCUCCCUGUCUCCUCCCGCCUUGGGGCCUUGGUCUUUACACCAAAGAGAAUAUGGCCAUCUGCAGGAACUUCCCAGAAUUCUCUUCAGCCCCAAGACUCAGGAGCACUUACAGGCCACGAAAUAUGAAAUCUGAAGAGGAAGACCUCUGGACGUGAUGCCUGGACCUGGGGCAGCCAUCCUGUGACCAUGAGGUUAGCUGGCGUGCAAAGGGCCUGUGUCCCAGACCAAAGAGCAUGGAAAUGAAAACUGAGCUCUCAACGGCAUCGUUGAGCUGCUGACUCAACCAAACCCCACCCCACCUGUGGGCUUCAUUUUGGGGAUUUGACCCUGUGUCUGUCUCCCCCGCCGGGCCAACAGCUCCUAACUCCCCUCCGGCCCUCCUCCGGCAUCACCCCCUCUGGGAAGCGCAGAAUGCGUGUGCUGAGUGAAUACACGGGUGACUACGUCCCUCUGUCGCCGUGACCCACACUCAGAGCCCCAGCCCCAUCUUCCCGUCCCCUUUGGUCCUCCUGAGGCGACACAGGGGCAAGGCGAGAACCUGGACUCUGGAGUCAAACAGGCCGGCACUGAGAGCCGGGUCCAGGCUGUGCAACCUCGGGCAAAUGUCUUCCUCUCUCUGCGCCUAGUCUUCCG